CACUAAACAAAUUGAGCAAGUUUUAUAUCAAGAGAAUUGAAACACAGUUCCAACUUCAAUAUAAGGCAUAACUCAAUCCCUGUCCAUAAAAUAAUGGAAAUGAAAAAGUGAAACCACUAAAUUCAUCCAGACUAGGCACCGAAAAUUAAAUGUGAAAAAGUUUAAGCCAGUAUUCUCAGUAAUAUUAUUAAACCAGGCACCUAUUCGAUUUUUUUCUUUUAAGGAAACUAAAAAUGGUGUUUCAUGUUAUUAAGGAUUUUUAUUUAUUUUUCACUGCGCUCUGCUUUUUCCCAACCUAUUUUAACUGGGCUCUACUUUUCCCAACCUAGUUUCAUAAUCAAAAUCAAAUUGCAAAUAAAUAAACCCUUGUGGAAACGAAAUUCAACAUUUAAAACCACAUUGGGAAUCUUCUAUUUCAUAAAAUAAUGGAAAACAAAAUUUAAAGGAAGGAAUCAAACAAUUCAAAUAAUGAAUUUCAAAUUCCAGUACCAAUUUAUAGGCGUACAUGAAUGUUUGAAGUACCCUACCAAAAUGGGGACAAAGUAUGUGCGAGAGAAAUCAAGAAGUAGUCCGUGCUAUGACCAAUUCUAGCCCAUUUUUUCAUUUACCACAGAAGAAUACGACGAAACCCUAGAAGUAGUAGGAGUCAGUGGAGGGCAGGGUACAUACAACUGGAGUGACUUUUUCUUAUUUUUCUGCAAUUUUGUCACCUUUUUUAUUUGUUUUGUGUACAACCCUACUUUUCUUGUUCUCGAAGAAUUUGCCGCAAUUACUGUCGCUGACAUUUUAUGAUAAU
rnacentral:lncRNA from 1 species